GUGUGGUGUGGAAGUGUUUGUUUUUUGCAAUAGAUUUUUGUUGCAGUUUAGGUUUGUAUUUUCUUUGUUUUGUAGUGCUUAUUAUGAAGGUUCGUAGGUUUAUGUCUGUAGGCCAGGCAGGUCAUUAAACUUAACAAAGAAUAAGUAAGUCGGGAGAGGGGAAUAGAAAUCUCCACAUACAUAUUCUUAAAAGCUGUAACACUCACCACAAAGAUCUGCUGAGUGAAGUCUGUGAGACGAACGCACCAAGUCUGGACGCUCUGUCAGGCUACAUUUUACGUUUUUGGGAGUGAGCAGGUGUUAUUCUGUUCCCCGGGUUGGUUUUGAAGUCAUGGCUCUCAAGUAAUUUUUGUGCUUCUCAAAAGUGCUGGAAUUGCAAAGAUCAACAUCAAAAGCUACAAACUGGAAACAGAGGAAGAUACUAGCCCCGUGUUUCUGAUUCAGUAUCACUGAAAUACUUUGGAACCAUAUAAAGGGCAAAGUACAUUCCACAUGUUGAAGGACAGUGCCUGGCCCUGUGGGGUGUCAUCCCCAAGCUGUAGGCAUAGUGGCAACCCAGGGGUUCAUCUCAACUCCCAUCAGAGUUCAAACAUUGAAUUAGUUGUGCAAUGGAAGGAGUAUUACCAGGACCCAGAUGCAGCCCAAGGAAAAAAGAAAACAAAAGGAGACACACACAGACACCAGAGCAUGAUGCAAGUGUGGCUUAAUCGGUGCUUGCACAUUGGGCUUGUUCUUUCCAAACCUGUUGCCCCGAUUCUGCAAGGCUAUCCUGCUGUAGAAGGAGGCCCUGGAGGACAAGACACCAUGUGGGGAAAACAGCCAUGGGGAGCAGAACCGAGGUAUCCCAGCUUAGCUCCCAACUGACAGCAGCCACAUGAGUGAGCAGAAAAACAACUUCCAAGGGUGAUUUAGCUACUGCUGCUGUGGAAUGUCAAAACUUUCAGCAAGGGAGCCCGAUGCAGAUCUGUUGAUAUGACACCAUUCCACAAGAAGACCAACUGAUGGCUUUGUGGCAAGUUGACUACACUGGGCUGUUUCUAUUCUGGGAAGACAGAGAUUUGUUCUAAGAGGAAUAGGCAUGUGUUGCAGGCAUAGGUUGACCUUUCCUGCCAUGGAGCCUCCUCUGGUACCACUAUUUGAAGGUUGAAGGAAUGUUGAUUCACCAGGAUUGAGUCAGACCAGCCAAGCCUAUGACCAUGAUGUCAACUGACUGUAUCACCUGUCACAUCAUCCAGAAGCUACAGACUUAUAAGGCAUUGGAAUAACUUGUAGAUGGCCCCGUUAAAGUACCAGCUUAGAGGCAACACUCCAUGAGAAUGAGACAUCAUCUCCAGGAUGGCACAUACACAUUGAAUCACACAGCAUUGAUAAGGAGAUGGCUCCCCAGUAGGAAGAAUAUAUUGGUCAUGAACCAAGGGAUGAAGCAGAAGUGUCUUGCUUCCUGUCCCUGCAGCCUCUCUUUCUGCAGUGCUAGAAAUCCUGGUCAAAAGGGGGCAUAAUUUUAUCAGGGGACACAGCAAAAGUCUCCACUACAUUGCAGCUAUGCCUGCUGCCUGGGGAUUUUGGGCUUCUUAUAAUUGGGACCAGCAAUAAAAGAGAAGAGUCACAGUCUUGGCAGGGCUAAUUGACCCUGAUCAGCAGGAGAAGAAAGGCUGUGGUUCCACUAUGAGGGUAGGGAAGACGUGUGGCACCACUGAUCCACUUUUGCAACCCAUGGUACUCCCGUGGCCAGUUGUGAUGACAGACAAGUGCAGGAACACUUUUGGGAAGGGCAUGGUGGCCAGAGUUCAGACCCCAUGGGAAUGAGGACCAGGGUCACACCACUGGAUAAGCCAGGAGGAAGAGAGGCCCACUGGAAGGCUGGAGGAGCUGCUCCCCAGAUGUAGAUGAAGUAGAUUUGAGCAGCACAGUGGUGGACCUAGUAGAGGCGGACAUCAAGAUCCUCUUCAAGGAAAGAUUAUCAAUAUAGUUUUCCCUGACCCAGAUUCUUCCCUUGACAUCACACCAGGAAAGUCUGACAACUUAACUUUAUUGGAUAUAGGCAACCGUUGAAUCCAAGUUUUGCCCACUGAAUCCAUCAAAUUGUUACAGCCAAUUCUAGAUGCCUGAGUGGACACAUGAAAUCCAGAUUCCCCAGUAAGCGCAUCCCCAUUAAUAAACUGACCAAAUGCAAUGUUAAUCUGUUCUAUAACCUUUAGAAUCCAUCCCAACAUAUAUUUUUUAGGUUCCUGCCAAGAUAUGUUAGCAAAAGCUUGCAAUUUUUUGAAAAAUGAAUUAUCUCUUCCUGGGACAUGUGUUGUACUUUUCUCUCUGAAAUAGGCUGAGCUCUGACUCCAUUAAAAGUCUGAAAGCAAUGAAGAGUGAAGGAGCGGAUAUUGGGGAGA
rnacentral:lncRNA from 1 species